rnacentral:rRNA from 1 species
CCUACGGGAGGCAGCAGUGGGGAAUAUUGGACAAUGGGGGGAACCCUGAUCCAGCCAUGCCGCGUGUGUGAAGAAGGCCCUCGGGUUGUAAAGCACUUUCAGUGAGGAAGAACGCCUGGUGGUUAAUACCCAUCAGGAAAGACAUCACUCACAGAAGAAGCACCGGCUAACUCCGUGCCAGCAGCCGCGGUAAUACGGAGGGUGCGAGCGUUAAUCGGAAUUACUGGGCGUAAAGCGCGCGUAGGUGGCUUGAUAAGCCGGUUGUGAAAGUCCCGGGCUCAACCUGGGAACGGCAUCCGGAACUGUCAAGCUAGAGUGCAGGAGAGGAAGGUAGAAUUCCCGGUGUAGCGGUGAAAUGCGUAGAGAUCGGGAGGAAUACCAGUGGCGAAGGCGGCCUUCUGGACUGACACUGACACUGAGGUGCGAAAGCGUGGGUAGCAAACAGGAUUAGAUACCCCUGUAGUC